GAUGAAGAACGUUAGCGAAAUGCGAUAAGUAAUGAGAAUUGCAGAAUUCAGUGAAUCAUCGAAUCUUUGAACGCACAUUGCACUCAUUAGUAUUCUAGUGAGUAUGCCUGUUCGAGCGUCAUUUCAACCCUUAAGCCUAGCUUAGUGUUGGGACUCUACCCUAACCGGUAGUUCCCCAAAAUCAGUUGGCGGAGUUCAGUCGGCUCUGAGUGUAGUAAUUUUCUCUCGCUUUAGAAGUCUUCUGGAUUACGGCCAGAAAGAGACGAGUCUCGCAUCUCGGUGCGUUUCUCAACUUUUUUUUUACAAUGGUUGACCUCGGAUCAGGUAGGAAUACCCGCUGAACUUAAGCAUAUCAAUAAGCGGAGGA
rnacentral:misc_RNA from 1 species